AAGUCGUAACAAGGUUUCCGUAGGUGAACCUGCGGAAGGAUCAUUAACAUUAAUUUACUACACACUGUUUUUUUACAACAAAAAAAAUCUAUCUAAAAACAAUUCUUUACAAGAAAUUCUUAAAACUUUCAACAACGGAUCUCUUGGUUCUC
rnacentral:misc_RNA from 1 species